rnacentral:rRNA from 1 species
UACGUAGGGUGCGAGCGUUGUCCGGAUUUAUUGGGUUUAAAGGGUGCGUAGGUGGCUUAUUAAGUCAGUGUUUAAAGUCUGCAGCUCAACUGUAGGAAUGGCAUUGAUACUGAUGAGCUUGAGUAAAGUUGAGGUAGACAGAAUUGAUGGUGUAGCGGUGAAAUGCAUAGAUAUCAUCAAGAAUACCGAUUGCGAAGGCAGUUUACUAAGCUUUAACUGACACUGAGGCACGAAAGUGUGGGGAUCAAACAGG